rnacentral:misc_RNA from 1 species
GUUACCUAAUAAAUUCAAAUGUUGUAGUUUAAAUUUUCAAAAUUUAGAGAUUAAAGUUUAGAAUAUAACUUAAAAAAAUAGUAUAUAAUGUUUGGAAUUUAGAAUCUUACUUAAAGAACUUUGACGGGGAGAUGUCUUUUGACUACCGUAUGUAAAGAUGCCUGAUGAUGGUCCAAUAAAGGAUCGAAACGUCGCAUGAAUUUGCAAUUGGUGGUUUGAUUGGCACCCUAUGUCCACUUUCCUGCUAAUCGUCAAAGAAUA